GACGGGUGAGUAACACGUGGGAACGUACCCUUCGGUUCGGAAUAACUCAGGGAAACUUGAGCUAAUACCGGAUACGUCCGAGAGGAGAAAGAUUUAUCGCCGAAGGAUCGGCCCGCGUCUGAUUAGCUAGUUGGUGAGGUAACGGCUCACCAAGGCGACGAUCAGUAGCUGGUCUGAGAGGAUGAUCAGCCACAUUGGGACUGAGACACGGCCCAAACUCCUACGGGAGGCAGCAGUGGGGAAUAUUGGACAAUGGGCGCAAGCCUGAUCCAGCCAUGCCGCGUGAGUGAUGAAGGCCUUAGGGUUGUAAAGCUCUUUUACCUGGGAAGAUAAUGACGGUACCAGCAGAAUAAGCCCCGU
rnacentral:rRNA from 1 species